GUCCGGGGCUGAGGCCGGUUGAGCAGCCGGGCAGGGCAAUGUGAGCAGCACCACGGCCCGGGCAGGGGGGCAGAUACCCCACGGGGUUGUGUAGAGGGGCUGCGGCUGCUUCAGCGGCAUUUUCUGGGCAAGCAAGGGGCUGGCAAGGCUGGCGCAGGGUGAGCAAGCAGGCACUGGGUGCCCCUGGGGUUCCCCCUGCCGCCCAGCCCCGUGCCACAGUGCCCUGUCCCAGGGCAGCCUGUCCCCAGCAUGGACGCUGGGCUGGGCUGGUGAGGGUGCGGUGCCACAGGAGCCGGGUGGCAGCCCCUGGCAGCGUUUGUCCCCGGGCUGCUUGCAGCCGUGCCCAGGGCUGUGGCUCUGCCGCUCCCCGGCUGCACCUCGGCUUUCAGGCCCCAGUCUGGAGGGGCGUGCUCAGGAAAUGUGCGCUCGGGAGAACAGGGAUGUUCGUGCUCUCAUCCUGCAGCCCUGCUCCCCUCGCUUGAGCCGCAGGUCCCCAGCCUGCAGGAACAUGCAGGGGUAGCACUGGUGCAGCCUUUCCCAGGGUCUUGUCCACCAGAAGCACGGACAGUCGCUUUUGGGGUUCCAAAUUUUAGCACUUCCUCUGGGAGUGUGGAAACUUCUCUGACCUGUGCUUGAUUCCAGGCUAUGGCGCUGGCGGCGCUUAUCGAGCUGCUCAGCUGGACCCUGGUUAUGAGCCUUGGGGGCGUCCCAGACCUGUCCCUGUAGGCAGCAGCUACUUGACUUCUCAGCUGGAGCCUGUCCGUGAGCCUCUGGAGGAUCCCACGGAGAUGGACUACGAGACUGAGCAGAAGACCUUUCCGAGGGGAAGCAGUCACUCAGUGCCAGCGUCAGAUGAAGAAACGGAGACAAUGGCAGCCACUGGCACGCCAGGUAGUUGCUGUCCCGUGGUCACCUGGUGUCACCAGUCGCAAUGACUGUGUGCCUGCGGGCUCUACCCCAGCUCUU